CAAGAACUGAGAACAGGAAUCCAACCCACCCCAAUCAUUUAUUCUCUCAUUCACCCAUUCACACUCUACCUGUUGAGCAUGAACCAUGUGCCAGGCACAGUUUGGGUGCUGAGGCUGAACAGAUGGGCAGGACAGCUUCUCUGCCCUCAAGAUACUUAUGGUCCACUGGGGGAGAAAGCCAAUAAAUGGCUUCUGCAACUUGGCUGGGUGACAGGAGACUAUGGAUGGAGCCCACUCAUUCCAGGGACAACACUGGAUGACCACGUCAUUCCUACUGCCCUCUUCCCACAUCUGAUUCUCCAGCUUCCUGUAUGCACUUUGAGAUAUCUUGCACCCCUGCAGCAAUUUUCCAUUUUGCUUAUGUCAGCCAGAUUGCAUGUCUGCUAUUUUAACUGAAUCAGGAUCUGAACACAGACUUGGGCAGGCGGAAGGAAUGGGAGAACAGCCAAAAAGAGGAGGCCUAUGACACCGAGCCGUACAGUAUGAGAAGGCCUGGCAAGGGGAAAGAGAGCAGGGGGCCUCCACGAGGAAGGGGCAGCAGUCUGCAGGCUUGGAGGUGAGAGAGAGCCUGCGCAGUUAGCAAAUGUGAGCAGAGGAUGAGAAAAAAAGAUAUUUGUGUUUAUACAACUGAUCCCCAGGGUCAGUUUGCUGGAAUACCAGAGCACAAGUUUUGGGAGGAGCACAAAGUUCUGUGGGUUUAUCUAGAAAGUCGCUUCGAGCUGCAGAAAUGAGACAUUGUGAGUCAACAGCUGAGGACCAGCCUGGCCCCCCUCCUUGGAAGCUGUGACUGCAGGUGAUCGGUCUCAGUAGGGAGGCCCAUUAACUCGUGUUCCCCUUCCCCUGGGGUGGAGGAGGGGGUGGGGGCACGGGUGGAGAAGGCAGAGCUGAAACUGAGAGCAUAGGGGAUGGGGCAGAGGGCGCAGAAGCGAGGAAGGAUACCAGCGCAGGCACCAGAGCAGGCUGGAUGGCAGCCAGGGGCAUGCGGCCUUCAGGGGCCGGCAUGUCCAAGAGGCCAGGAACCCGGGUAGCUCUGCAGGAGGCAAGGACUGUGGAACCUGUGAGGAGAGAGGACCACCAGGUGUCAGAGGGCACGGGGUGGGAGAUGCGCCAGCCCACGUCAUGACGAGAGGAAGCGAGCAGAGGACUUGGGGCAGUCAGGGCCCUACUUCUUCUUCCUCUGGAAAUCCUUCCUUGCAUCUGGCGCGCGUCACCGGAAUUCGGCAGCACCUGCCGUUCGCCGCCUGCUGCCCUCUCCUGGCGUCCCAUGGAACUGCGCCCUCUGCAACCGUAGGCUUAUUCUUCAAAGGAUGACAAGCUGUUGGCCCGGGCGGACGUCCAAUGGGAGGGUGUCAGAGCCGGAAGGGACCUCACGGAUAAUUUUGUUCAGCCACCACAUUUUACUGACGAAGAAACUAGGGCUUACGGAGGGACAUGACUUAUUCUGGGUCUUAGGCCACAUAAGUGGACUGGAGCAGUCACAGGUGGUCUCCAGGGCCCAUAAUUACCUCCAAGCCUGGGAAACGGGCUGCCCCUGAGAACGCACCCUCAGAGGUUGACUACAGAAUUACAGAAACUCGUCCCCAGUCAGCUGCAUGAUUUUAGCUAUCACUGUUGUAGCUGUUUAUCAGCCCAAGCUGUUGGAUUCUAAAGAAUCUGAGCCCUGGAAGAAGGAUUAAAGGACGAAUAGAAACUUGGUUCCCUAUCUCUCAGGGCAAGAGUCUAACCAUGGAUACUUCUAGAUUUGAGAGACGCAGGGGGAAGGGAUGGGACAGAAGCUCCUGAAGAAUGUGACAUUGCUCAGUUCCACACCCUUUAGGUAGCCAAGCUAAUGUCCUGAAGCAGGAGAUCUGAAAGUCCCUCUCUUGAUCUGAGUAGCCACAGGUCUUGUCCACUCUUGGUCAUGGACCCAGGCUUUCUCCUUUGAAAUCUGGUCACACUGGCAAGUCUCUGACCUCCGGGUGGUGCCUGGCUUGUCUUCUAGAUAAAAUGAAAUAUUCGUAGUCUGUGGGAUGCUAAGGGUGAAAUGAGGUCCUGUUUCUGGCCACCCUCUUCCCUUGGAAGUGUCCAAGUGCUGAAACUGCAGCGGCCAGGUGAGAAUAGACCUUCUUUCUGAAAUGGCGAUUAUCCACUGUGGGCAAUAGCAACCCCAAAGUGGCAGGAGUAAAAGGGGAGGAAAGAAGAGCUCUCUGUGUUUAAAUGCUGCGUUGAGGGCCUUACUGCUACGGAGUAGCUUUGAAACUACGAAUACACAUCAUUGCUCCCGUAAAGGACCUACUAUAGUAAGGUGUGUCCUCCAGGUGGAGACGAAGCAGGAAUCCAGGAAUUGGCCUAUAAGCAGAGUGUGGGCGAUGUGAGGGGGCAGAGCAGUGGCACCCACAGAGAGUGGGCCUGGACAGGAAGAGGCGAUGAGGCACAGACAAAAACCUCAGAGUGGGAACUACUGAGAGAGGAAGAGAGGAGUUCACAUCUCCAAGAGGACAGCUGUCAAAUUCAGGAGUGGGACAGAGCCCACAUGCUCACCACCAAACCUUUUUCCUUCUCUUCCUGGGGACACAGCUAGACCAUGUUUCUUUGCAGGUAGAUGUGGUCAAGUGACCGACUUCUAGCCAAUGGAACAGGGGCAGCAUGCUCCAUGGGAGCCUCCCACGUGUGAUCCUGUCUCUAUUCCCCUGUCUGUCAGCUCAAGGUCAACGUCCAGGGUGACCUUGGGAACUACAUGAUGAAGAUGGCAGAGCUGCUGUCAGUCUGGGUCCCGGAAUGACCCAGACUCAACUGAGUUGAGCCAAUAUCUCAUCCACCUUGUCCCCCACCACAAUCUAGACACACCUAUUUUGUACUGCUACGUGAGUAAGAUAUAUCCCCUUAUUGUGUUAAGUCACUAAAGUUUGGGGGUUAUUACAGCCCAUAGCCAUGCAGUAAUAUAAGGAGCAAGCCUCAGAAUCUCUUAAAAUUGCUUUAAGUAUAAUGGAGAAGGAUCAUGAUAGCAACACCAGCCAUUUGUGCAACUCUCUGCAGUUAAUCAGGGACGUCUCUACCUGGAAGGAGGCCAGCAGAGGAGAUGUCGCUAUCUCUGGUGUCACAGUUGAGUAGGUUGAGCUUUAAAGAGAUACAGUAACUUGCACAGGCUGGCAUAACUGUCAAGUCCUUUGGCAGGACUCAAAGCCACAUUUCCAGAAGGUUUGUAGAGUGUUGUGUGGGAAGGGCCCUCUUACAUGUCCCAGUAGAGACCGUGUCAGAACUCCACCCAUAUUGCCUCAGAGCCCUUUUCCAUUCUCACUCUGGAAAGGCAGCCUCUGCGUCUGCUUCUGAGGGCUGCCUGCAGGCUGCGGGAGUCCACUUGGCCUAUGCGCACAGCGAGCUGGAGGUGCCUGGGAAUCUACACCCCUCCAAGGAUGCCCACUGAUUGCCAGUGCAGCAUGGAAAUGUUCCAGCUCUCUCACUCCCAAUCAAGGCACUCUGGGGUGUGACCUACACUGUCCCUGGGGUUCCCUGUGGGAUGGAGCCAAGUGGGAGUCUUCAGGGGACUUUGCCUGACACUGCACCCUUGCAUGGCCUCCAUCCUUCCUGGUCCCACUCCCCCAUUCCUCUACUGGUUUUCCUUCCUAAUAAGUCACUUUCCCAUUGAUGCUUGUCAUGGGGUGGGAACCUACCCUAAGAUAUUUAAAUAGAGCGCACCUACCUCCUUGUCUAAGUGAAGAAGCUGAUGGGCAGAGAGGGGAAGGAACUUGCUGGAGGUCACACAGAGGAGAAGGCGGCCAGAGCCCAGAUCCCUGAGCAUCGUCCUCUGAUGCUCUGAGAGUUGGCGCCGUGAAGGAAUCUCCCUCCCAAAGUCUGCUCUGUCGACCAUAAUCACUGAGGCAACAGUCAGGGAUUGAACUUGAGCCAAACUGAUUGAACCACCCAGAAGAGCCCUUGCCUGGACUCCUGACGCUCUGCUAUGCACCCAUCCCACUGAAAUAACAGCUGGACAUUCAACCACCAGACACAUAGAGAGCAUCUGUUUGUGCCAGGCAGUGUUCUGGGCGUUGAGGAAUCAAGAUGAACAAGAUGAUUCACGUAUCUGCCUCUCACAAAGGAGAGAGAGAGAAUAGAACACCAGUGAGUGAUAAAUGCUAGGAAGAAAAAGAAACAGGGACCAGGGGUUUGAGAGUGACGGGGGUCAGGGAGGGCCUCGAGAGGAGGUGACAUAGAGUAUGAGACAAAAUGAAGGCACUUCCUCACCCGAGCUUGGUUUUCCCUGGGUCCCCUCUCCUGAAGCAGGAGAAUGCUGUGCUAAGCAUCAGCCGUGGAGUCAGCGUGGCAUCUGGUUGGCGCUCAGCAGACAUUGGCUGUCGCUGAUGGCUGGCUGGCUCUGCCUGGGGGCCUCCUCUGGGUCGGCAGCUUGUACAGUGCUGCCGCAGAGCCCAGACGACUGGCUGGCUCUUGCUCCAGGAGGGCAGAGGAGACGCUGAAAGCAAGGGGGCUGUGGCUUCUGACUGUGCACACGGAGCUCAUACCCCCUAGAACAGCUUUCCAGCCACCAAAGGAUGGAAUCAGAGUUGUCCUCGGCCUUUCAGACAAGCUGUUACCUUAAAAAGGAGAUCUGGAGUUGCAUGCAGGAUGCUCUCCCCAUGACUUCAGAUGGCACCAUGGCCUCCUAUGUCACACCUAUGGCGGGCAUGUUCUCUUCUCAAACUGUAACUAUCUGAAAACCCUUUUGGAGCUCAGCUUAUGUUGUGAGAUCUGCAAUCAGGCAGACAUUGGCUCAACCCCAGUGUUGUGUGCUUUUGGGUUCCUCAUAGACCCUCUCUGAGCUCAGACCUGAAACAUGAAUAUCCCAGGCUGAGGAAACAGCCAGCGCAAAGCCUCUAGGGCAGAAAUGAGCUCAUGUGUUUAGGGAGCAUUUGUGAAAAAGGGUAAGAAAAGCCCUUCCCACUUAGGGCUGCUCUGAAGGUCAGUGCAACCAGCUACACCUCCUGCUUCAUUCCGAACCACCCAUGACUCCCGAAGGGGGCUUGUUGCAUCUGGAGGAGGGGGUGAUGCUACUGUGAGCAAGCCCAGAGCCUCUUAGGUGGGAGAGAUGCGAGGGACCUCCCCGCCUAGCCCAGACAAUUGCCCGUCCCAGGCAAGGGCCCCCACCAGACUCAGCAUCCCCUGCUCUGCUUUAAUCCCCACUGAAAUUGGCCUUGUGUUUGUGUGUGGGGGGUCAGGCAGGACUUUAAAAUAUUCUUAUCUUUAAGUUUUGCUUUCACAACAGCAAAGAAAGCAAAAGUCACCUUUGAGCCCAAAUUGCAGAGAUAACUUCCUAAUUCUGGGUUGUAUUUUACUUCUGUCUUUGUUAUAAUAAAUAUUUUUACAUAGUUGAGAAAUCACUGUAUGUCAUUUUUUUCUCUUCCUACCAAUUCGUUUAUUUUCUUGGCCUG
rnacentral:lncRNA from 1 species